rnacentral:misc_RNA from 1 species
GUGGACUUCAUCUUCAGUCAUAUAUGCAGCCAGGCACUCAGCAGCAGCCUGCAGCAUGCCAUCAGAUACGAUAGGAGAGCCAGAUAGAAGCGUACCGAGCCCAAUACCUGGGAAAAGAUACAUGUUGUUUCCUUGGUUGCAGUGGCCAAUGUGACCAUUCCCAAAAUCGACAUCUUUGAACGGGCUUCCACUUGCAAAUAUGAUGUUUUCAC